rnacentral:rRNA from 1 species
AGAGUUUGAUCAUGGCUCAGAUUGAACGCUGGCGGCGUGCCUAACACAUGCAAGUCGAGCGGCAGCGCGGGGGCAACCCUGGCGGCGAGCGGCGGACGGGUGAGCAAUAUUUGGGAAUCUGCCUAUUAGUGGGGGACAACCCGGGGAAACUCGGGCUAAUACCGCAUACGCACUAUGGUGGAAAGCCGGGGACCGCAAGGCCUGGCGCUAAUAGAUGAGCCCAAAUCGGAUUAGCUAGUUGGUGAGGUAAUGGCUCACCAAGGCGACGAUCCGUAGCUGGUCUGAGAGGACGACCAGCCACACCGGAACUGAGACACGGUCCGGACUCCUACGGGAGGCAGCAGUGGGGAAUAUUGGACAAUGGGCGAAAGCCUGAUCCAGCGACGCCGCGUGGGUGAAGAAGGCCUGCGGGUUGUAAAGCCCUUUCGGUGGGGAAGAAAAGCCUCGAGCUAACACCUCGGGGUCUUGACGUAACCCAUAGAAGAAGCACCGGCUAACUCUGUGCCAGCAGCCGCGGUAAUACAGAGGGUGCGAGCGUUAAUCGGAAUUACUGGGCGUAAAGCGCGCGUAGGCGGCUUUGCAAGUCGGAUGUGAAAUCCCCAGGCUUAACCUGGGAACUGCAUUCGAGACUGCAUUGCUAGAGUAUGGGAGAGGGAAGUGGAAUUUCCGGUGUAGCGGUGAAAUGCGUAGAUAUCGGAAG